rnacentral:rRNA from 1 species
AUUGAACGCUGGCGGCAGGCCUAACACAUGCAAGUCGAGCGAGCGGCGGACGGGUGAGUAAUGUAUGGGGAUCUGCCCGGUAGAGGGGGAUAACUACUGGAAACGGUUGCUACUACCGCAUACUAUCGGAUGAACCCAUAUGGGAUUAGCUAGUCGGUGGGGUAAAGGCUCACCAAGGCGCCGAUCUCUAGCUGGUCUGAGAGGAUGAUCAGACACCCGGGAACUGAGACACGGUCCAGACUCCUACGGGAGGCAGCAGUGGGGAAUAUUGCACAAUGGGCGAAAGCCUGAUGCAGCCAUGCCGCGUGUAUGAAGAAGGUCUUAGGGUUGUAAAGUACUUUAAGCGGGGAGGCGUUACCCGCAGAAGAAGCACCGGCUAACUCCGUGCCAGCAGCCGCGGUAAUUC